rnacentral:rRNA from 1 species
AUUGAACGCUGGCGGCAGGCCUAACACAUGCAAGUCGAGCGAGCGGCGGACGGGUGAGUAAUGUAUGGGGACUGCCCGAUAGAGGGGGAUAACUACUGGAAACGGUAGCUAAUACCGCAUACUAUCGGAUAACCCAUAUGGGAUUAGCUAGUUGGUGAGGUAAAGGCUCACCAAGCCGACGAUCUCUAGCUGGUCUGAGAGGAUGACCAGCCACACUGGGACUGAGACACGGCCCAGACUCCUACGGAGGCAGCAGUGGGGAAUAUUGCGCAAUGGGGGCAACCCUGACGCAGCCAUGCCGCGUGAAUGAAGAAGGCCUUCGGGUUGUAAAGCACUUUCAGCGAGGAGGCGUUACUCGCAGAAGAAGCACCGGCUAACUCCGUGCCAGCAGCCGCGGUAAUUC